rnacentral:rRNA from 1 species
GACGAACGCUGGCGGCGUGCUUAACACAUGCAAGUCGAACGGAAAGGCCCAGCUUGCUGGGUGCUCGAGUGGCGAACGGGUGAGUAACACGUGGGUGAUCUGCCCCUAACUUCGGGAUAAGCUUGGUAAACUGGGUCUAAUACCGGAUAGGACAAUCGUUUAGUGUCGGUUGUGGAAAGUUUUUUCGGUUAGGGAUGAGCCCGCGGCCUAUCAGCUUGUUGGUGGGGUAAUGGCCUACCAAGGCGUCGACGGGUAGCCGGCCUGAGAGGGUGGACGGCCACAUUGGGACUGAGAUACGGCCCAGACUCCUACGGGAGGCAGCAGUGGGGAAUAUUGCACAAUGGGCGCAAGCCUGAUGCAGCGACGCCGCGUGGGGGAUGACGGCCUUCGGGUCGUAAACCUCUUUCGACAGGGACGAAGCUUUGGUGACGGUACCUGUAUAAGAAGCACCGGCUAACUACGUG